rnacentral:rRNA from 1 species
ACUGGGACUGAGAUAUGAUCCAGACUCCUACGGGAGUAAGCAUCCGGGAAUCUUGCACUAAUGGGCGCAAGCCUGAUGCAGCGACUCCGCGUGGGUGAUGAAGGUCUGCGGAUCGUAAAGCCACUGUCAAGGAGGGAAGACACCCGACUGUACCUCCUAAAGGAAGCUCCGGCUAACUACUCUGCCAUGCAGGCGACGAGUAAAACGUACGGAGCUAGCGUUGUCCGGGAUCACUGGGCGUAAUCGGCACGCAGGCGGUCUGAAAAGCGGUGGGUGCAAUCUCGAGGCUCAACUUCGAAACUGCUCGCCGAACUAUCAGACUAGAGCAUGGGAGAGUGACAGGUGUGAAUUCCCGGUGUAGCGGUGGAAGUGCGUACAUAUCGGGAGGAACACCAGUGGCGAAGGCUGCUGUCUGGAACAUUGCUGACCGCGUGAGGUGCGAAAGCCAUGGGAGCGAACGGGAUUAGAUACCCCGGUGUUCCUGGCCGUACACGAUGCUCACUAGCUGUACCAGGCAUUAAGCCCCGGUAGUACUGUUCUGCUAACGCAGUUAAGUGACCCGCCUGGGGGAGUACGACCGCAAGCCUGAAACUCAAAGGAAUUGACGGGGGCCCGCACAAACGAUGGAGCAUGUGGGUCAAUUGGAUGGUACGCCAAGAACCUUACCAGGGCUUGACAUGUUGGGUCCCGCCUGAGAGAUCAGGC